GUUUUUUUUCCUUUGCUGAGAAUUGUUCCUGAAUCCUGUCCUUGCUGAAUAUUCGUAUUCCGGUUUGGACUGGCGAGCCAUUCCAUCAUUUUGUACCUGGAAACAGAGAAAAGCAUGUGAAAUCUGCCGAACUGGACACCUUUCCUAAAGCUUCAUCCUGUGGAGAUUACUGGAUGUACCUUGCGUUGUGUCACUUCGUCCCUGCCUUGAACACAUCCUGACAACUACGUCGUGAACAAAGAUCCGAUCUCAUAAUGGGAAAACGUUCUGCUGUCAAAUGCUCAUGGUCAUUUUGAGGUGCAGGUUGCCCUCGGUGCGAUCAGGGUUGAUGUCUCCCAGAAGCCUUGGCUGUAUUUCCGCAAGCUUCGUGUCAGCUGUACAUGGCCAAGUGCGCUUCACUUCAACCCACCAUGACAGAAUACUGGACCCUUAAUAACGAGUAUAAAAAAUGGACUUACCAGCCGUCCAGCUGCUCUGCAUGGAGCAAGAGCAGCAAUCCCUCAAGGUCCACACCAGUGGAUUUUUACAACUGGCGUGCUGAAAUAUCUUUCCGGACCAUUCUCUGUGCGUCUUCUUUUAUAUCAGCCUGAAUGAAGAAACGGAAGCAUGCCUGCCCGGUGUCAGUCCUCGGGGGAAUUUCGCUGCAUUUGUGGACUGGGUGCUGGUGAACAAUGGAUCUACGGAGGACAUCACCAGCCCCACUCCGGACUCAAAGCCCAGCCAGUUAUCACCCCACUGCACGGACAUGACGGCAGAGCCCACCGCAGAUGUUAAGCAUGAGCCUGUCCACGAGCCAGCGGCAGUAAAGAGGACUGAGCCAACCAUCACCCAGGAGCCCGGGCAUCAUGUCUGUCCAGGUAUGUGAGCCGGCAACAUCAUGUGCCACCGUGAGAGUAUUAGUGGUUUACGAGCAUUACGGGUAGUAAACUAGUAAAGGGGAUCCCCAGCUCUGCCUCCAGCAAGUAAUCCUGUCAUUCCACCGCGGCCCCUCGAACUGCUGACUCUGCCUUGGCUCUUCUAUCCUUCAGCUCCAUCCUUACGGCUCCACAGGGCUUCCUCUUCCCUCCAGCUCCGCCUUGGUCAGACAUCACUCUGUCUGCGUCACAAACUUACAGGCCUUUAGCUACACUUCGUCCCUUACCCCUUUCAGCUCCGUCGGGCUCCUUUUUCCUUCCGGCUCUGCCUUGGUCCUCAUUCCCACUGGCUCCGCCUCAGUCCUCUGGCACCCUGGCUCCACAUCAGAGGCUCAUCACUGUAGCUCCGCCUCCAGGACCAUUGGUGUUGCCUGGUUUCAUCUGCUCUCCGUCUUUAACUUGGGCUCUACCAAAAUCUAACCAAAUCACCACCAUGGCUCCUCUCUCCCUCGACUCUGCCGUGGGCCUUGGUCCUGGCUGUGGUCUAGGUCUAGGAGGUAGCAUGGCAAACAAACAGGGUCAUUAAUCAAAAUGACCACAAGCUGGAUUGAGGAGUUGUUUUUAAGGAUUUACCUUUCCAGCCAAGCACAUCACUUUUCAUUGGAUUAUCACUUUUGAGAACUUUGUAUAUACACCGGUGGACACUUGCACAUUGGGACUUUCAGCAUGCUAGGACUCUUAAGGACUGUUUUAUGGAAUGGAACCAAUGGACUCUAUGCUUUUAACAGCCUAAGUUUUCUAUUUUUGUGUUGUUUUAAGUUCCACGUGAAAGUUGUAAAUACACUAUUUAUUCACUUUA